GGUCUUGUAGCUUAGUUGGUUAGAGCGUGGCUCUUAUGAGUCGAAGGUCGUGAAUUCGAGCCUCGUCGGGACCA
rnacentral:tRNA from 1 species